AAAUUGAAGAGUUUGAUCAUGGCUCAGAUUGAACGCUGGCGGCAGGCCUAACACAUGCAAGUCGAGCGGUAGCACAGAGAGCUUGCUCUCGGGUGACGAGCGGCGGACGGGUGAGUAAUGUCUGGGAAACUGCCUGAUGGAGGGGGAUAACUACUGGAAACGGUAGCUAAUACCGCAUAACGUCGCAAGACCAAAGUGGGGGACCUUCGGGCCUCAUGCCAUCAGAUGUGCCCAGAUGGGAUUAGCUAGUAGGUGGGGUAAUGGCUCACCUAGGCGACGAUCCCUAGCUGGUCUGAGAGGAUGACCAGCCACACUGGAACUGAGACACGGUCCAGACUCCUACGGGAGGCAGCAGUGGGGAAUAUUGCACAAUGGGCGCAAGCCUGAUGCAGCCAUGCCGCGUGUGUGAAGAAGGCCUUCGGGUUGUAAAGCACUUUCAGCGGGGAGGAAGGCGAUAAGGUUAAUAACCUUGUCGAUUGACGUUACCCGCAGAAGAAGCACCGGCUAACUCCGUGCCAGCAGCCGCGGUAAUACGGAGGGUGCAAGCGUUAAUCGGAAUUACUGGGCGUAAAGCGCACGCAGGCGGUCUGUCAAGUCGGAUGUGAAAUCCCCGGGCUCAACCUGGGAACUGCAUUCGAAACUGGCAGGCUAGAGUCUUGUAGAGGGGGGUGGAAUUCCAGGUGUAGCGGUGAAAUGCGUAGAGAUCUGGAGGAAUACCGGUGGCGAAGGCGGCCCCCUGGACAAAGACUGACGCUCAGGUGCGAAAGCGUGGGGAGCAAACAGGAUUAGAUACCCUGGUAGUCCACGCCGUAAACGAUGUCGAUUUGGAGGUUGUGCCCUUGAGGCGUGGCUUCCGGAGCUAACGCGUUAAAUCGACCGCCUGGGGAGUACGGCCGCAAGGUUAAAACUCAAAUGAAUUGACGGGGGCCCGCACAAGCGGUGGAGCAUGUGGUUUAAUUCGAUGCAACGCGAAGAACCUUACCUGGUCUUGACAUCCACAGAACUUUCCAGAGAUGGAUUGGUGCCUUCGGGAACUGUGAGACAGGUGCUGCAUGGCUGUCGUCAGCUCGUGUUGUGAAAUGUUGGGUUAAGUCCCGCAACGAGCGCAACCCUUAUCCUUUGUUGCCAGCGGUUAGGCCGGGAACUCAAAGGAGACUGCCAGUGAUAAACUGGAGGAAGGUGGGGAUGACGUCAAGUCAUCAUGGCCCUUACGACCAGGGCUACACACGUGCUACAAUGGCAUAUACAAAGAGAAGCGACCUCGCGAGAGCAAGCGGACCUCAUAAAGUAUGUCGUAGUCCGGAUUGGAGUCUGCAACUCGACUCCAUGAAGUCGGAAUCGCUAGUAAUCGUAGAUCAGAAUGCUACGGUGAAUACGUUCCCGGGCCUUGUACACACCGCCCGUCACACCAUGGGAGUGGGUUGCAAAAGAAGUAGGUAGCUUAACCUUCGGGAGGGCGCUUACCACUUUGUGAUUCAUGACUGGGGUGAAGUCGUAACAAGGUAACCGUAGGGGAACCUGCGGUUGGAUCACCUCCUUA
rnacentral:rRNA from 1 species